AAACUAUGAUGAGGAUAUCUUCGUUGCAAUUCCUGAUAGCGCUCUCAAGUUUCGUACAAUAUCUCUCAUUCUUGUUGAGAAAAACUAGCUAUAUCUAUUCUAAACUU